GCCGGUGGUGGUAGACUUGCCCGAAUCUACGUGUCCGAUGACCACGAUGUUGAUGUGAGUCUUCUCCUUUCCCAUUUUGGCUUAGAUUUAGCGGUGGUUUUCACGACACCUAAGUUGGGGGGAAAAAACCCCACUUUUAAACUCCAUUCACAUAGAGAU